rnacentral:rRNA from 1 species
AGCGAACGCUGGCGGCAGGCCUAACACAUGCAAGUCGAACGAAGUCUUCGGACUUAGUGGCGGACGGGUGAGUAACACGUGGGAACGUACCUUUUGGUUCGGAACAACUCAGGGAAACUUGAGCUAAUACCGGAUGAGCCCUUAGGGGGAAAGAUUUAUCGCCGAAAGAGCGGCCCGCGUUAGAUUAGCGAGUUGGUGAGGUAAAGGCUCACCAAGGCUAGGAUCUAUAGCUGGUCUGAGAGGAUGAUCAGCCACACUGGGACUGAGAAACGGCCCAGACUCCUACGGGAGGCAGCAGUGGGGAAUCUUGCGCAAGGGGCGAAAGCCUGACGCAGCCAUGCCGCGUGAAUGAUGAAGGUCUUAGGAUUGUAAAAUUCUUUUACCAGGGACGAUAAUGACGGUACCUGGAGAAAAAGCCCCGGCUAACUUCGUGCCAGCCGCCGCCGUAACAC